rnacentral:rRNA from 1 species
GACGAACGCUGGCGGCGUGCUUAACACAUGCAAGUCGAACGGAAAGGCCUUUUCGGCGGUACUCGAGUGGCGAACGGGUGCGUAACACUUGGGUGAUCUUCCCUGCACUCUGGUAUAAGCCUGGUAAACUGGGUCUAAUACCGGUUAGGACCGCACUUUAGUGCGUGUGGUGGAAAGGUUUUUUGGUGUAGGAUGAGCCCGCGGGCUAUCAGCUUGUUGGUGCGGUGAUGGCCUACCAAGGCGGCGACGGGUAGCGGUACGUAGAGGUUGGGCGGCGACAUAGAGACUGAGGGGCGGCAGAGGUUGCGAAGGUAGGCAGAAGUGGGGAAGCUUGAACAAUGGACGCAGGGCGGAUGCAGAGAGGCCGCGUGGGGGAAGACGGUCUUCGGGUUGAAAAAAAGUUGCGCCAGGAACGAAGCGUUUUGUGACGGUACCUAAAGAAGAAGCACCGGCUAACUACGUG